rnacentral:rRNA from 1 species
UGCAUGGCCGUUCUUAGUUGGUGCAGUGAUUUGUCUGGUUAAUUCCGUUAACGAACGAGAC